GAUGAACGCUGGCGGCGCGCCUAACACAUGCAAGUCGAACGGUUAAGGCCCCCUUUAGGGGGCGCAUAGAGUGGCGAACGGGUGAGUAACACGUGACCAACCCGCCCCCCCCACCGGGACAACCUCGGGAAACCGAGGCUAAUACCGGAUACGCCGGGGCCCCCGCAUGGGGGCUUCGGGAAAGCCUUGGCGGGAGGGGACGGGGUCGCGGCCCAUCAGGUAGACGGCGGGGCGAAGGCCCGCCGUGCCGACGACGGGUAGCCGGGCUGAGAGGCCGAUCGGCCACAUUGGGACUGAGACACGGCCCAGACUCCUACGGGAGGCAGCAGUGGGGAAUAUUGCGCAAUGGGGGGAACCCUGACGCAGCGACGCCGCGUGCGGGAAGGAGGCCUUCGGGUCGUAAACCGCUUUCAGCAGGGAAGAAGCCUGACGUACCUGCAG
rnacentral:rRNA from 1 species